GACGAACGCUGGCGGCGGGCUUAACACAUGCAAGUCGAACGGAAAGGCCCUGCUUGCGUGUGGUGCUCGAGUGGCGAACGUGUGUGUAACAUGUGAGUAAGCUUCGCUUUACGUGGUGAUAACUUCAGGAAACUGGGGCUAAUACCUGAUAGGAGCUGCUGCUGCAUGGGGGUGGUUGGAAAUCUUGGGCGGUUGUGGCUGGACUGGCGGCUUAUCAGCUUGUUGGGGGGGUAGUGGCUUACCCAGGCAUUGGUGGGUAGACGGACUGAGAGGGUGAGCGGCCACAUUGGCACUGAGAUGAGGCACAGACUGCUACGGGAGGCAGCAGUGGGGAAGAUUGCACAAUGGGCGGAGGGCGGAUGAAGAAAGGCCGCGUGCGGGAUAGCGGCCUUAGGGUUGUAAAACGGUUUCGACUGUAAAGAAGGGUGAGUGACGGUAACGAGUAAAGAAGCAACGGCUAACUACGUG
rnacentral:rRNA from 1 species